ensembl:lncRNA
CUUUGGGGAUUUGGGAUGUGAGCACUGCGGUGAGUGUGUCGACAGACACCGCAGUCAUUCGUCAUUACAUAUGUCAGGGAUGAGUCAUGGGUACCAGUUUUCCUGUGUAUUUAAAAAAAAGGAGUUUUGUGUGUGUGUGUGUGUGUGUGUGUGUGUGUGUAUGUGUGUGUGUCUCUGUGUGUGUGUGUGUCUGUGUGUGUGUGUGUGUGUGGACGGGUGAAGACAGGAGAGACAGAGGGCUGCUCUUGCCUGCUGGGUAACGGACUGAUGGACUGAGAGCAACAGUAGCUCAGUCACUGGUGGAGUGUUGGGAACGGCGUGCCUGCCAAGGCCCUAAACCCCAAGCCCUCUAAUGUGACUCAGAUCUAUGUGAAUGAGCGCAGUGGCAGCUUUUGAUUGAUUACUGUGUCAAAAGUUUUUUUUUUUUUUUUAGAGAGAGGUGUCCCUGAAGUGCAACAGUCUGGUUUUUACUCCCGUUCUCAGAAAACAUUUAACCAAUACUACUGCUAGACUACUUUUCUUGCUUGUACGAUGUACGUUUCCUCCACUAACUGACAGGCUUUAUUUUAAAUGUGCUAUUUGCUAAGCUAAGUCAUAGCUUGACAGCAUGCCUUUAUGACAUUAAAUCUUUUGGAAGAGCAGUUACUUAUUGUGACUUUUUUUGCCUGUCACUGUCAGUUUGCUAAUUGUUUCGAUGCUAGCGUGCCUAUUAAGAAUUUACCGCUCACUCAGGACUUUGCCUUUGUGACUCUCACACCCCUAAUCCUCACUCCCACAUCUGGCUUGAAUAGCCUGCGUCAUGUCAGUGUUUACCACUGGACUUUAGCCUGUAUCAUUGGGAUUAGAAGCUUGGCGAUGCUAACAAAGAGGCUAGAUGUUUUAAGUGCUAGCGUCAUUACUAUUACAUAUUGGGAGUGAUGUUUGUGUUCUCAUGCAGUUGACGCCAACUUAGAACUAGUGGAUGUGAACCAUCUGAGAUAUCGUGCUGGUCUGUGGAAUUUCAGCCUGAGUUUCCAACGAUACAUUCUUAUAUGUGCAUUUCUUCAUAUUCCAUUUGUUUUUGUAGUCAUUUGUGUAUAUCUAAAAGGACAUACAUUGCAGAAAAGGCAAUUGAACCCAUUGACAUUUCUACAGGAUUUUAUCUUUUUUUUCAGCAGUUCCAGCAUUGGUUGUUUGCAACCAGUUUUGUCAUUCAAGCACAGAAGAGCUCAAUAACAGGAGUCCUCCCUCCUUAAGUGAUUCUGGCGCCACAUCAAGUGCAAUUCUAUUCGCACCGGCCCCUUUAGAUGCAUUUAGAGGCCGUGUGUCAACAGUUAUUAAUCUGCGGCUUGUUGCCCGUGCAGCAGAGCGACCAUUAUUCCCCUCGUCUGCGUGACAGGCCCUUCGUCUCCUCUCUCCUCGUCCAACGUCCCUCGUCCCCAAAUCUCCCAUCUAACAGCGCUCCGAGGACGAGAAGAGCAAUCAAUUACGAGAGUUUAUUUUUUUUUGGGUCGCCCCCCUUCUCGCAUACCUGAAUAUAAAUGCACCUCUCAUGCAGUCUAGUCCAACCCGCUCUCCACUCUCACUCAGCCCCCCCCAUCCAUGUAAGGCACCAAAGCAGACAUGAUUGGGUUUCCAGGAGGGGUGUAUUCUCUUUGUGUUUCCCACCUCACUGCAGACCAUUCCUGUAAGCAUGCAAGUACACGCUUCGUGGAGGUG